rnacentral:rRNA from 1 species
GCCUACGGGAGGCAGCAGUGAGGAAUAUUGGUCAAUGGCCGAGAGGCUGAACCAGCCAAGUCGCGUGAGGGAUGACGGCCCUACGGGUUGUAAACCUCUUUUGCCGGGGAGCAAGACCCGCCACGAGUGGCGGAGCGAGAGUACCUGAGGAAAAAGCAUCGGCUAAUUCCGGGCCAGCAGCGGCGGUAAUAGGGAGGAUGAGGGCGUUUUCCGGAUUUAUUGGGUUUAAAGG